rnacentral:tRNA from 1 species
GCACCGGAAAUCGUGUGGCCUCUGCCCUCCGAAGGCAGAGGUCUCAGGUUCGAAUCCUGACGGGUGCGCCA